rnacentral:rRNA from 1 species
UGGCCAAGUUACGAAGGGCGUAUGGGGGAUGUCUUGGCAUCAGGAGGCAUUAAUGGGCGUGGAAGUCUGCGAAAAGCUCGGGGGAGCUGACAAACAAGUAUUGAUCCCGAGAUUCCCUAGCUAACGUGGUGAACUGAAACAUCUCAGUAACCACAGGAAGAGAAAGAAAAAUCGAUUUCGUCAGUAGCGGCGAGCGAACGCGAAAGAGCCCAAACCGUGGGGGUUUCCCCCGCGGGGUUGUAGGGUCUUCCACAUGAGAGUCACAAAAUUGCUGACUAGCGGAACGCUUUGGAAAGGGCGACCACAGGGGGUGACAGUCCCGUACGCGAAAGUCGGCAAUCUCUCGGAGGAUACCUGAGUAGGUCGGGCCACGUGGAAUCCCGACUGAAUCUACGGGGACCAUCCCGUAAGGCUAAAUACUACCUGAUGACCGAUAGUGAACUCAGUAUGGCGACUGAAAGAUGAGAAGAACCCCUGCUAGGGGAGGAAUGUGAACCUGAAACCAUACGCUUACAAGCGGUCGGAGCCCUAUGCCUUUUAGGAAUGGGUGACGGCGUGCCUUUUGCAUAAUGAUCCGGCGAGUUACCGUCUGCGGCUCGGUUAAGGCCUUACGGGCCGAAGCCUCAGGGAAACCGAGUCUUAAUAGGGCGUUUUUGUCGUUGGCGGUAGACGCGAAACCGGGUGAACUACCCAUGAGCAGGUUGAAGCGCGGGUUAUACUGCGUGGAGGACCGAACCCACUUGGGUUGAAAACCGAGGGGAUGACUUGUGGGGAGGAGUGAAAGUCUAAUCAAACCUGGAGAUAGCUCGUUCUCUCCGAAAUAUCUUUUGGGAUAGCCUCGAGCCACUACACAUCGGGGGUAGAGACACUGAAUUGGAUGGGGGCCCUUCCCGGGGUACCCCACUGAACCAAACUCCGAAUACCGAUGUGAUUAUCUCGGGAGUCAGUCCGCGAGGGAUAAGCUUCGCGGUCGAGAGGGAAACAACCCAGACCAU